UUCCAAAUCCUAAUUGACAAGAUCGCUGCUAAGCUUGCAGGUUGGAAAGGAAAGCUGAUGAAUAAAAUGGGCCGGCUGACUCUUAUAAACUCGGUGUUAACUUCUAUCACAACCUACUACCUGACUAUGUUCGCCCCCUCAAAGUGGAUCACCAAGAGGAUCGACAAGCUAAGAAGGAAUUUUCUAUGGAAAGGAGAAGAGGAAGCAAGUGGUGGGCACUGUGCGGUGAACUGGAACCAAGUGUGCUCCCCAAAGAAAUUUGGUGGCCUUGGAAUUAAAAACCUUGCCCUCUAUAGUAGAUCUCUCAUAUUGAGGUGGGCCUGGUACACAUGGAAGUCACCCUCUCGGCCAUGGGUUGGAACCCAACUCCCCUGCUUCAAGACUGAUUUGCAGCUCUUCAACGCCUCUACAACCAUCAGACUUGGUGACGGAGAAUGUGCAAUGUUCUGGAAAAAUGCGUGGUUGAACGGAGCGGCACCAAAAGACAUUGCACCAAACCUUUUCUAUCUGGCCAGACGGAAGAAUGACACUGUCAAGAAUGCACUUCACCAGGGCCGCUGGAUGAAGGGCAUCAAGAGGCUCUCCACUACUGCUGAUUUGCUAAGCUUCAUUGACCUAUGGCAUCAGAUCAACCAAAUCGCUCUCUCUGACAAGCCUGAUGAGAUUGACUGGAGAUGGACUAGCAACAACUACACCGCUGCCUCGGCCUACAAUGCCCAGUUCACGGGAUCCAUCAUGAAGCCCUAG
rnacentral:rRNA from 1 species